rnacentral:rRNA from 1 species
CCUACGGGAGGCAGCAGUGAGGAAUAUUGGUCAAUGGGCGCUAGCCUGAACCAGCCAAGUAGCGUGAAGGAUGACUGCCCUAUGGGUUGUAAACUUCUUUUAUAUGGGAAUAAAGUGCAGUAUGUAUACUGCUUUGCAUGUACCUUACGAAUAAGCAUCGGCUAACUCCGUGCCAGCAGCCGCGGUAAUACGGGGGAUGCAAGCGUUAUCCGGGUUUAUUGGGUGUAAAGGGUGCGUAGGCGGUGGGUUAAUUUAGCGGUGCAAUGCCCCCGCUCCACGGGGUGAAGUGCCAUUGAUACUGCCUUGCUGGACUGCGGAUGCCGUGGGAGGACUGUGUGGUGUAGCGGUGAAAUGCAUAGAUAUCACACAGAACACCGAUUGCGAAGGCAUCUCACGAAGCCGCGAUUGACGCUGAUGCACGAACGCGUGGGUAUCAAACAGGAUUAGAUACCCUUGUAGUC